CACGUAGGCACCAAGCGUUGUCCGGAUUUAUUGGGCGUAAAGAGCUCGUAGGCGGUUCGGUAAGUCGGGUGUGAAAACUUUGGGCUCAACCCAAAGCCUGCACCCGAUACUGCUGUGACUUGAGUCCGGUAGGGGAGUGGGGAAUUCCUGGUGUAGCGGUGGAAUGCGCAGAUAUCAGGAGGAACACCGGUGGCGAAGGCGCCACUCUGGGCCGGUACUGACGCUGAGGCGCGAAAGCGUGGGGAGCGAACAGG
rnacentral:rRNA from 1 species